UUUAAAUUGAGAGUUUGAUCCUGGCUCAGGACGAACGCUGGCGGCGUGCCUAACACAUGCAAGUCGAGCGAUGAAACCCUUCGGGGUGGAUUAGCGGCGGACGGGUGAGUAACACGUGGGUAACCUGCCUCAAAGAGGGGAAUAGCCUCCCGAAAGGGAGAUUAAUACCGCAUAAUAUGUUUUGGUCGCAUGACCUUUACAUCAAAGGAAUUUUCUUUUAGAGAAUUCCACUUUGAGAUGGACCCGCGGCGCAUUAGCUAGUUGGUGAGGUAACGGCCCACCAAGGCAACGAUGCGUAGCCGACCUGAGAGGGUGAUCGGCCACAUUGGAACUGAGACACGGUCCAGACUCCUACGGGAGGCAGCAGUGGGGAAUAUUGCGCAAUGGGGGAAACCCUGACGCAGCAACGCCGCGUGAAUGAUGAAGGCCUUCGGGUUGUAAAGUUCU
rnacentral:rRNA from 1 species